rnacentral:misc_RNA from 1 species
CGGCUCUUGUGUAAGAAGCUUGUCUCGUAUAAUCUCCGAUGAACAGUCUUCAUAUUCUCAGGUUGCAUCAACUCCCUUUUGUCAACCGUGAAAGUUAUACCAGGUCUAGCGGCCACAGUGGNNNNNNNNNNGAUUAGAAGGGAGAAGAGGAAGAAAAGAUAGAUGAUGUUGAAAGCAGAAAGAUGUUUAGAUCGAAACGAAGAAGAAGAAGAAGAAGAAGAAGA